CUGGAAGAAGAAGAAAGCAUUUCCAGUGCCUGAACUGAGAAGCUGUGCCAAGAAACAAGCCAAAGAGUGCCAGGAAAAGCUAAGCUUUAAAAGUACAUUGUUUACAUCACUCUUGGCCCAUCACAUUGGAAGAGAGACUGUAGGAGAGACCUCUGGUGCUCAUGAAACGGAAGCUGGGACUAAGGAGAGACCUGGGCUCAAGAGUCAUCUCUUCUGCAGAUCUGGAAAGCACAAUUUCUUAGUGGUUAUAGACUCGUUUCGCUGCCUCUGGAACCUAUGUGACAGACUUGUAAAAUUUUCUUCACAAAAGGCAAAAUGGGUCUUCCAAGGGAGGUGGGACAUCUGUUCAUUGGUUUAACCUGUUUUGUACAAGCCAGACUCCUUAGUGGUCCAGGAACCUGAUCCUCUUGGGGACAGUGAGAAGCAACGUGACACACCAAAGCGCCUAUUGGCUACUUGGAUAUCAGGCUUGGGAGAUAUCCAAAAGAUACUUGGGGAGACAAAAAGUCCCCUUUCUGCACCAAACUCGCCGCUCAGUGUCUGUCGCUCUAUGCAGAGUGGAGUUUGUCCAAGCAACAUGUCUAAGCAUCAGGAGUGGCACCCUGGCUGGGUAGCGUGACAGCACAGAGCAAGGCAGGGAUUACACCUGAACAUUAAGGUAGAUGGGAGGCUGCUGCCUGCUCUGGGAGAUGCAGCCAGAGAGGAGCCAGGGAGCUCAUCUCCGGGGGACGGAGUGGGUGGCAUCAUCACAACAGUCCCCUAAGUCACGAAGAGGCACCUGUGCAGGAAUAGGAGCGCUGAGAGGAUCCUGCACUGGCGACCAGAAGCAAAAAGCCACUUCAUGUUCCUUCCUGCCAAAUUGCUCUUGCUCAAGACAUGAAGAUGAAAAUUUUCUGAAAUGGAGUAUAUUCAGGACAAAGAACAGUAUUCACAGAUAA
rnacentral:lncRNA from 1 species